GUAGGUGGCAAGCGUUGUCCGGAAUUAUUGGGCGUAAAGCGCGCGCAGGCGGUUUUUUAAGUCUGAUGUGAAAGCCCACGGCUCAACCGUGGAGGGUCAUUGGAAACUGGAGAACUUGAGUACAGAAGAGGAAAGCGGAAUUCCACGUGUAGCGGUGAAAUGCGUAGAGAUGUGGAGGAACACCAGUGGCGAAGGCGGCUUUCUGGUCUGUAACUGACGCUGAGGCGCGAAAGCGUGGGGAGCAAACAGGAUUAGAUACCCUGGUAGUCCACGCCGUAAACGAUGAGUGCUAAGUGUUAGGGGGUUUCCGCCCCCCUUAGUGCUGCAGCUAACGCAUUAAGCACUCCGCCUGGGAUACGGCCGCAAGGCUG
rnacentral:rRNA from 1 species